rnacentral:rRNA from 1 species
AUGCCCAGCCGUAAAACCAAUUUACAUCACACACGCCAGGGAAUUACGAGCUUAGCUUAAAACCCAAAGGACUUGACGGUGUCCUACCCCACUAGAGGAGCCUGUCCUAGAAUCGAUAAUCCCCGUUUAACCUUACCACUUCUCGCUUUAUUCAGUUAGUAUACUUCCGUCGCAAGCUUACCAUAUGAAUGUUUAUAGUAGGCCCAAUGAUAACCCAUCAACACGUCAGGUCAAGGUGCAGCAUAAGAAGUGGGCUGAGAUUGGCUACAAUUUCUAACUUAGAACACACGGAAUAUUGUAUGAAACACAAUACUGAAGGUGGAUUUAGUAGUAAAAAGAAAAUAAAGUGUUCUUUUUAAUAAGGGCACUGGGACGCGUACAAACCGCCCGUCACCCUCCUCGAUAAACUAUAUUCUGUAAAUAACACAAGUCUUAUUAUUAGAGGAGGCAAGUCGUAACAAGGUAAGUGUACCGGAAGGUGCACUUGGAUAG